rnacentral:rRNA from 1 species
AUUGAACGCUGGCGGCAGGCCUAACACAUGCAAGUCGAGCGGAUGAAGGGAGCUUGCUCCUGGAUUCAGCGGCGGACGGGUGAGUAAUGCCUAGGAAUCUGCCUGGUAGUGGGGGAUAACGUCCGGAAACGGGCGCUAAUACCGCAUACGCGCUGAUGGAGAAAGUGGGGGAUCUUCGGACCUUACGCUAUCAGAUGAGCCUAGGUCGGAUUAGCUAGUUGGUGGGGUAAAGGCCUACCAAGGCGACGAUCCGUAACUGGUCUGAGAGGAUGAUCAGUCACACUGGAACUGAGACACGGUCCAGACUCCUACGGGAGGCAGCAGUGGGGAAUAUUGGACAAUGGGCGAAAGCCUGAUCCAGCCAUGCCGCGUGUGUGAAGAAGGUCUUCGGAUUGUAAAGCACUUUAAGUUGGGAGGAAGGGCAGUAAGUUAAUACCUUGCUGUUUUGACGUUAACAACAGAAUAAGCACCGGCUAACUUCGUG